ACAGCAGCAGCCGCGGUAAUACGUAGGGUGCAAGCGUUAAUCGGAAUUACUGGGCGUAAAGCGUGCGCAGGCGGUUAUAUAAGUCAGAUGUGAAAUCCCCGGGCUCAACCUGGGAACUGCAUUUGAGACUGUAUGGUUAGAGUGUGUCAGAGGGGGGUAGAAUUCCACGUGUAGCAGUGAAAUGCGUAGAUAUGUGGAGGAAUACCGGUGGCGAAGACAGCCCCCUGGGAUAACACUGACGCUCAUGCACGAAAGCGUGGGGAGCAAACAGGAUUAGAUACCCGCGUAGUCCCUGUCUCUUAUAA
rnacentral:rRNA from 1 species